rnacentral:ncRNA from 2 species
GGAAGCCGGUGGGAAUCCGGCACAGUCGCGCUACUGUGACAGCUCCUCCGCGGUCGACCACGGUCGGUCCGGGCGAGCUGGAGUCAGAC